ensembl:lncRNA
UUUUCCUCUAUUUCUUUACAUUGAUCACUGAGGAAGGCUUUCUUAUCUCUCCUUGCUAUUCUUUGGAACACUGCGUUCAGAUUAUAUCUUUCCUUUUCUCCUUUGUUUUUCGCUUCUCUUCUUUUCACAGCUAUUUGUAAGGCCUCCUCAGACAGCCAGUUUGCUUUUUUGCAUUUCUUUUUUUGGGGGGAGGAUGGUCUUGGUCCCUGUCUCCUGUACAAUGUCAUGAACCUCUGUCCAUAGUUCAUCAGGCAUUAUAUCAGAUCUAGCCCUUAAAUCUAUUUCUCACUUCCAGUGCACAGUAAGGGAUAUGAUUUAGGUCAUACCUGAAUGGUCUAGUGGUUUUCCUUACUUUCUUCAAUUUCAGUCUGAAUUUGGUAAUAAGGAGUUCAUGAUCUGAGCCACAGUCAGCUCCUGGUCUUGUUUUUGCUAACUGUAUAGAGCUUCUCCAUCUUUGGCUGCAAAGAAUAUAAUCAAUCUGAUUUCGGUGUUGACUAUCUGGUAAUGUCAAUGUGUAGAGUCUUCUCUUGUGUUGUUGGAAGAGGGUAUUUGCUAUGAUGAGUGCAUUCUCGUGGCAAAACUUUAUUAGCCUUUGCCCUGCUUCAUUCCAUAUUCCAAGGCCAAAUUUGCCUGUUACCCCAGGUGUUUCUUGACUUCCUACUUUUGCAUUCCAGUCCCCUAUAAUGAAAAGGACAUCUUUUUUGGAUGUUAGUUCUAAAAGGUCUUGUAGGUCUUCAUAGAACUGUUCAUCUUCAGUUUCUUCAGCAUUACUGGUUGGGGCAUAGACUUGGAUUACUGUGAUAUUGAAUGGUUUGCCUUGGAAACGAACAGAGAUCAUUCUGUUGUUUUUGAGAUUGCAUCCAAGUACUGCAUUUCAGUCUUUUGUUGCCCAUGACAGCUACUCCAUUUUUUCUGAGGGAUUCCUGCCCACAGUAGUAGAUAUAAUGGUCAUCUGAGUUAAAUUUACCCAUUCCAGUCCAUUUUAGUUUGCUGAUUCCUAGAAUGUCAAUGUUCACCCUUGCCAUCUCUUGUUUGACCACUUGCAAUUUGCCUUGAUUCAUGGACCUGACAUUCCAGGUUCCUAUGCAAUAUUGCUCUUUGCAGCAUCGGACGUUGCUUCUAUCACCAGUCACAUCCACAGCUGAGUAUUGUUUUCGUUUUGGCUCCAUCCCUUCAUUCUUUCUGGAGUUAUUUCUCCACUGAUCUCCAGUAGCAUAUUGGGCAC